CACGACGGCGACGUUGCGUAGUCUGUCACUCUGUCAUUCGUUAAAAAAUCGUGUAGUGUGUGUAGUGUGUAGUGUUGUUUUUUUCUUUUGGUCAACGUAUCUAACUAUUUUCUAAGUAUUUUCGUACUAUUUUCUAACAUAAAAUGGAAAAAACGUUUAAUGAGAAAUUAAACAAUUUACUAUUAAACAAAAACGCAAAUGCUGUGUUUUUAAAUAAAAUUUAUUAAAAAAUACGGUGUUGUAAAUAAAUCAAGGAUUGACAAAUUAGUAGUUCCAGUAUCCCAAGUGGUUUGUUGUAUACUUUUUUCAAUGAUAUGAAUUUGAAUGAAUGCAAGGUGCUGCAGAUUAUUCAGUAAUACCGAAAUCCUGGUUAACUGUAGUUGAUCAUAAGUAUUUUUGCAAAUGGCCCAAAACAAAAAAAGUUACUUAAAAUAUUUUACACAAAGGAGAAAAUGUACCUACAGGAAACUAUUGACAUAUAAUUUAUUCUCGGUUAAUUUAUGUUUCAACGGAGUUCCAUUUGAUAAUUUUGAAAUGGCUCAAAGGAAACUACAAUACAUUAUGGAUUCUGAAUCAGAAUCUGGUUUAAUUAAUUUAGAGAGAGAGGUAAAAGAAAAAAAACAAAGGCAACUAAUUUUGAUGAAUGACCAGUUGAGAUAAUGGUAUGCAUUUAAAAGUAAAUAUUCAUUAUGAUUUUAAUAUAUAGAUUUAAUUUAUUAAGAAUCAGAUAAUAGAUGUUCAAAUAAUAUUGUUGGAAAC